UGCAUUCAGAAAAGUCUUGUU
rnacentral:piRNA from 1 species